GACGAACGCUGGCGGCGUGCCUAACACAUGCAAGUCGGGCGGAUGAAGUUCCUUCGGGAACGGAUUUAGCGGCGGACGGGUGAGUAACACGUGGGCAACCUGCCUCAUAGAGGGGAAUAGCCUUCCGAAAGGGAGAUUAAUACCGCAUAAGAUUGUAGUACCGCAUGGUACAGCAAUUAAAGGAGCAAUCCGCUAUGAGAUGGGCCCGCGGCGCAUUAGCUAGUUGGUGAGGUAACGGCUCACCAAGGCGACGAUGCGUAGCCGACCUGAGAGGGUGAUCGGCCACAUUGGGACUGAGACACGGCCCAGACUCCUACGGGAGGCAGCAGUGGGGAAUAUUGCACAAUGGGGGAAACCCUGAUGCAGCAACGCCGCGUGAGUGAUGACGGCCUUCGGGUUGUAAAGCUCUGUCUUCAGGGACGAUAAUGACGGUACCUGAGGAGGAAGCCACGGCUAACUACGUGCCAGCCGCCGCGGUAAAAC
rnacentral:rRNA from 1 species